GUCUAGUUGACGAGUCCCAAAAAGGACGAAACGCGCGUCCUGAAU
rnacentral:hammerhead_ribozyme from 1 species